ensembl:lncRNA STX18-AS1 STX18 antisense RNA 1 (head to head)
UUGACUGCAAGAACUCACCUUGAGCAGGAUAGAGGCACGUGGACGGUGACCCUCGGGAUGCAAUAAAUGCUGAGACAGAUCAGCAAACAUUGAGUGGGCCAGACACUGUUCUGAAAAAUACGCAGUCGACUUUUGAACAGCACAGGCUUGAACUGCAUGCGGCCACUAAUACUCGGACUUCCUUCUGCCUCUGCCAUCCCUAAGACAGCAAGACCCACCCCUCCUGCUCCUCAGCCUACUCGAUGUGAUGAUGAUGCAGAGAUUCAGAGAGUCUAAGCAACUUUUCUAAAUCAUCUAGCUGGAAUUCAGUAACUGAGCCAGGAUCUACCCCAGGUCUGUCUGACUCCAAAGCCUGUGUCUUCCAGCACACACUGCUGCUGCCUGGGGUAAGAGCUCAACAUUAUGCUUGGAAAAAGGAGCUUUUCUAUCUCAUUGUGGAGGGCUGGGAUGUCUCCCGUGUCCACGCUCCCUUCUUUCUUAGUAAUGGGCACGUUACUGCGUUCCCCAGCCUCUCUUGCAGCAAGGUGACCAAGUGAACACUUUCUGGCUAAUGAGAUGUACAUAGAAGUCUUGUGUAAUACUUCUGGGAAGCUUUCUGAAAGAGAGCGAAUACACUCUUCUCCCAUUUUCCUCAAAAACCUUCUAGCAGGAAUGUGGAUAUGA